UACAGGGGGGGCAAGCGUUGUUCGGAAUUACUGGGCGUAAAGGGUUCGUAGGCGGCCAACUAAGUCACACGUGAAAUCCCCAGGCUUAACCUGGGAACUGCGUGUGAUACUGGAUGGCUUGAAUCCGGGAGAGGAAUGCGGAAUUCCAGGUGUAGCGGUGAAAUGCGUAGAUAUCUGGAGGAACACCCGUGGCGAAGGCGGCUCUCUGGCCUGUAACUGACGCUGAGGCGCGAAAGCGUGGGGAGCAAACAGG
rnacentral:rRNA from 1 species